AGGAGAACAGAUCAUCAUGGCGGACGGGAGGCAGGACUACAUUGCAGCUCCCGACAGGGCAGCGUGCGGGGCUCGCAUUGUGACUUUUAGCUCCAGAUGGACUGCAGGAAGAAACCAGCAGUCCCGAGAGGACCCGCAGACCCUCUGAAGGAAGUGGGCUGCUCCUGCAGGACCCGGGAGACCCCCGCAAAAGUCUGAAUGCAACAGCCCCUGGUUUCCUGCUCUGUGAGGAAUGGCUAGACCACAUCUCCUGCUGGUGACAAGUGUCAGAAGUAUUGAUUCUGCAACAAACUGAGAAGAAACCUGGCGAUUCACAACAGAGAGCUGAGAAAUCCUAAGUCUGGAUUCCAGCUAAAUGGGAGCAGACUAAAUAGAGCGGCAGUCGGCGAACUACAUGUAGCCCAUGAACAAAAUCCGGUCCAGCACGUGUGUUUUUUUUUACGGCCCACAAAUGAGUCUGUCUUUACAGAUGAAUGUUAAAACUGGGUUGACAAGAGAGAACACUCACUUUGAACCGCAACUAAACAAAAUAUUAUCACCUUUCCCCUCAAAAAAGGUUUUUGUUCUUCUCAUUAGUAAAUUUGUAUUAUGACAAAA
rnacentral:lncRNA from 1 species